rnacentral:rRNA from 1 species
UAAGGAAUAUUGCUCAAUGGGAGAAAUCCUGAAGCAGCAACGCCGCGUGGAGGAUGAAGGGUCUAUGACUUGUAAACUCCUGUAAAGAAGGAAAAAAUUCCCAUUAGAUGGGAGAUGAUGGUACUUCUGGAGUAAGCCCCGGCUAACUACGUGCCCGCAGCCGCGGUAAUACGUAGGGGGCAAGCGUUGUCCGGAUUUACUGGGUGGAAAGGGUGCUCAGGCGGAUUUGUAAGUCAGAGGUGAAAUCUUACAGCUUAACUGUGAAACUGCCUUUGAUACUGCAAGCCUAGAGUAUGGAAGAGAGUGAUGGAAUACCUGGUGUAGCAGUGAAAUGCGUAGAUAUCAGAUAGAACACCAAUGGCGAAGGCAGUCACUUGGCCCAUUACUGACGCUAAAGCACGAAAGCGUGGGUAGCAAACA